CCGGACCGAGUCUAUGAACGUCGUACCGUUGGGUGCUACGUGAUUACUGGAUGAGUGGUGCAUGGCCGUUCUUAGUUCGUGGUGUUAAUUGUCUACUUAAUUGUUUCGGCCAUGUAUCUCUCAGUACAGUCCUUACAACGAACGAGAUCGAGACCCGUGGUUUGAAUUCGGUAUUACUACGGGGAUCGCGUAAUUACUCAACGGUACGAUCGAAAGACUCGGCAAUAACAGGUCUGUGAUGCCCUCAGAUGUUCUAGGCUGCACACGUGCUACAUUGUGAGUUGUAGUAUAUUGUGUAUGCGUAGAUAUGUCUAAGAUCCCC
rnacentral:rRNA from 1 species